rnacentral:rRNA from 1 species
CAGUCGCCACGGUAAUACAGAGGAUGCAAGCGUUAUCUGGAAUUAUUGGGCGUAAAGGGCUCGCAGGCGGUUUCUUAAGUCUGAUGUGAAAGCCCCCGGCUCAACCGGGGAGGGUCAUUGGAAACUGGGAAACUUGAGUGCAGAAGAGGAGAGUGGAAUUCCACGUGUAGCGGUGAAAUGCGUAGAGAUGUGGAGGAACACCAGUGGCGAAGGCGACUCUCUGGUCUGUAACUGACGCUGAGGAGCGAAAGCGUGGGGAGCGAACAGGAUUAGAUACCCCCGUAGUCCCUGUCUCUUAUAC